GGAAGAUUGUGGUGUCUGGAAUAGAUGUGGGUUAGAAUGCUGGAUGAAGAUCCUGGACAGCCACACACACACAGGGACCCAUCCAGUAUGCGGGGGGCAGUUAUUGUUCUUGCUGUCCUGGGAGUCACCUCAGGGGAGGCCCUGCACCUGAUCCACCUGCCCGCCACUAGGACCGUGGCAGAGAAUGCGCCACCUGCGACUUUGGUGCAUGAGUUUUCUGUGAAUUUAUCAGUGUCGUUGUCACCUGUGAUGCCAGGAUUUCCGAUGGUCGCCAACCCAAGCCCCUUCACUGAGGCCUUCAGGGUGAACAGACUAUCGGGGACCGACUUCGAGGUUGUCACCAGUGGGAAGGAACAACUAGACUUCGAAACAGGACCCAAAGUUUUCGAUUUGCAGAUUUAUGUGAAGGAUGAUGUGGGUGUCACAGACUUGCAGGUCCUGACCGUCCAGGUGACAGAUGUGAACGAACCGCCUCAGUUUCUUGGCAACUUGGCGCAAGGUUUAAACCUCUAUGUAACAGAAAGAACAAAUCCUGGAUUCAUCUACCAGGUGGAGGCCUUUGACCCAGAGGACACAAGCCAGAACGUACCCCUCAGCUAUUUCCUCAUCUCUCCUUCAAAAAACUUCAGGGUGUCUGCAGACGGCACCCUCUUCUCUACCACAGAACUGGACUUUGAAGCAGGACACAAGAGCUUCAGUCUCCUCGUGGGAGUGAGAGACAGCUGGAACCUGACCGCCUCCACAACGCUCCGGGUGACCAUUGUGAACAUCAACGACGAGAUCCCACGCUUUACCAGCCCAAGGAGAGAGUACUCCAUCCCAGAGGAAGUGCGUCCAGGAACCAUCGUGGCAAACAUCACGGCAGAGGAUCCUGAUGACGAGGGCGUUCCUGGCCACCUCCUCUACAGCAUCACUACCGUCAGCAGCUACUUUGUCAUAGACCAGCUGACUGGGACAAUCCAAGUGGCCCAAAGGCUAGAUCGAGAUGCAGGCGAACUGAGACAGAAUCCCAUCGUUUCUCUGGAGGUUCUGGUGAGGGACAGACCCUCUGGGGGUCAGGAGAACCGUAUCCAGAUAACCUUCACUGUGGAAGACAUCAAUGACAACCCCGCAACCUGCAGCAAGCUCACCUUCAGCAUUAUGUUGACGGAAAACGCAGCCAACGGAACGUUGCUCUUGGACCUGAACAAGUUCUGCUUUGAUGACGACAGUGAAGCUCCGAACAACAAAUUCAACUUCACCACGCCAUCUGGAGCGGGGAGCAGCGGCAGAUUCUCACAGCGUCCAGCUGGCUCUGGGAGAAUUGUGUUAACUGCUGAUCUAGAUUGUGAAAACCCGAGCAACAUAGCAGCUGGCAAUGCAUACAAGGUGAUAAUCCAGGUGCAAGAUGUCGCCCCUCCGCACUAUAAAAAUAACAUCUACAUUUUCAUUGUAACAAGCCCAGAAAAUGAAUUUCCUCUCACCUUUGAUAGACCGUCAUAUGUGUUUGAUGUGUCAGAAACAAGACCAGCUAGAACCCGCGUUGGGCGCGUGCAAGCGACUGACGCAGACUUCCCCCAAAGGAGCGUGCUGUAUUCCAUAUCCAGCGGAGGGGCCAGCCUCCAGCACCCAAACAUAUUUUGGAUUAAUCCCAAGACAGGAGAACUCCAGCUAGUAACUAAAGCUGACCACGAAACCACUGCCGUCUACACUCUCACAGUCGAGGCCGCCAACGGCGAGGACACAAGCUCAGCCACUGUUACCGUAAACAUCCUUGGAGAAAAUGAUGAAAAGCCAAUAUGUACCCCCAAUUUUUACUUCAUGGCCAUCCCAGUGGAUCUGAAAGUUGGCACAAACAUUCAGAAUUUCAAAUUGACGUGUACUGACCUGGAUUCUAGCCCCAGAUCUUUCCGAUACUCCAUUGGCUCAGGCAACGUCAACAGCCAUUUCACCCUCUCUCCCAGUGCCGGCUCGAACAUCACACGCCUGCUGCUGGCGUCCCCCUUCCGCUAUGCUGGUGGCCUCGAUGAGAUCUGGGACUACAAGCUGCUCAUCUACAUUACUGACGACAACUUGCUGUCUGGCAGGACAAAAGCCGAGGCUCUUGUCGAAACAGGGACAGUGACGCUCAGUGUUAAAGUCACUCCUCACCCGACCUCGAUCGUCACCCCAGUACCCAGGCCCAGGAUCACCUACCAGAUCCUCAGGGAAAACACAUACUCUUCGUCAGCAUGGUACGUGCCUUUCAUCAUCACUCUGGGCGCCGUGGUGCUUGUGGGGCUGCUGGGGUCCCUGAUGGUCCUGCUGGCCAAAGCCGUCUACAGACAUUGCUCCUCCGUGACCAGGAAGGACAAGAAACACCUACAGGAAGACUGUGAAGAAGGAGGCCGUGGUGGUGAGUGUGGUCAGCCACAGGAACCUCGCCUGGGUGCUGGGUGGUGGUGUCCUGUCUCUGCCGCACACAGAGCCCAGGCUCUGGAGCUGCUGGAGCUGCAUUGCUGCCUUCUGGGAGAGGCUCGUGCAUCUGACCACUGACACAGCUCCCUGCAUGGCCAGCUCCUGAUAGGAUUCCUUCCCUCACUGAGCAUGUCUGCAGAUGCGUUUGCUCUGGGUUUCAUAAAUAUUGAGUAGUGGUGUUUAUUAUCCGUUCCAGCUCUCCACAAGCGUACACUGGGGGAGCAGAGCUUAAAGGCAGAGCUGGUGCUGCCGCAUCCCGCAGAUUUAAUUUUUCUUGGCUUUUCCACAACCUUGCAAGGGAGUGAUAGAGACAAUGCACAGCUUGCAUCUGGGUUUGGCGCUACCUACCCCUUAGCCACAUAACCCUGAGGACACCCAAGCCUUUGGGAGCCUUAGAUUCCUCACCAUGAAAUGGGAAGGAGGACACCCACCCCAAGACAAUGGCUGGGGAAAUCUCCCUAUGUGAAGUGCUCAUCCUGGCUAGAACCACAUCCUCGCCGUCUUACUUCACUAUCACCAUGAUACAACACCAAGGCAACGUCGAGGGGUUUAUCUGGGGCUCACAGUUCCAGAGGAUUCAAGUCCAUGCCCAUCACGGUGGGGAGCAAGGCAGCAGACAAGCAAUCAUAACACUGGGGCAGUAGCUGAGAACUUACAUCCUCGGAUACAGCCACGAGGGAGAGAGAGGAGGAGGAAGGGAAUGGAUGGGCUUCUGACGCCCAGUGACACAUCUCCGCCAACAAGGCCACACCCCCUCAUCCUUCCCAAACAGUUCUGCCAAGUGAGGACCAAGUAAUCAAACACAGAAGCCUGUGGGGGCUUCUCCUUUGGUCAGGACAUUCGUCUUACUUUUGCUUUCUCUUACUGAGCCUGAUAUAUUCACUGGGAAGAGCUAAAACUUCAUACCUUCCCUGAUCUCCUCUGUUUCCCCUUGAUUAACCUUAUUUAUGAUGUAAGACACUACCUCGGGUAAGUAUGCAUCUUGAGGGGUCAGUGGAGCUAAAGGCAGACCCUUGCUUUACACUCAACACCUUAGUGUAUCUACUCUCUGGUUCGUCUGCUUGAGAGGAAGGAAUAGCCUUGGGCUUCCAAGGUCUUAUCAUCUAAAAGGAACACCUAGGGUGCCAGGGGAUGAACUCACAGACAGUCUUAAAACUGUGCCACAUUGAUCUAUUAAAUAAGUAAACCCUCAUAUCAAACAUGGGGCUUUUUAGAUCAUCUAGUAGAUGAAGCACGUGCAGUUCUCACUGCUUCUCUUCAGCAUCCGAGGUGGGGAAGUAGCCAGGUGGCACCGGUAAGGAAGAGGCCGCUGUGCUCUGAAUAGCUUCCUGCUAACAUGCUGAGGAUCUUGAUUUUGUCAUUUUUUUUAUUGAUUUUUGUUGAGCUCUACAUUUUUCUCUGCUCCCCUCCCUGCUUCUCCCCUUCCCGUCAACCCUCCCCCAAGGUCCCCAUGCUCCCAAUUUACUCAGGAGAUCUUGUCUUUUUCUACUAUCCAUGUAGAUUAGGUCUAUGUAUGUCUCUCUUAGAGUCCUCAUUGUUGUCUAGGUUCUCUGGGACUGUGAUUUGUAGGCUGGUUUUCUUUGCUUUAUGUUAAAAACCCACCUCUGCUAUCAUAGCCUUGUCGUAGCCCGUUUGUCAGUGACAAACAAUGGAGACAGACAGAGCUGCCUGGGUCACGGUGGUGUCCCUAACGUGUGGCCCAGUCCCAAAGCUUGAGCCAGGAAAGCCAGGUGUAAAUGCGUGCAGUCCCAGCAAUCAGCAAGAGCAAGGGGUUGAGAGCAGACGUGGUUACACACCCAGCUCAAGACUAACCUGGGCUUAACCUUGUCUGGAAAAAAAAUGGUGAUAAACGAAUAAAACAAAAUAGCAAAAGAAGCCACGAGCAAGGAGCACAACCAAGAGGGUGGGUGGCCUUGCCCAGGGACAUCCGCAGCAUUGUGCCUGAAGCGGUCUCUUUUCCUUAGCAAUCUGUCCAGAUGAAUACUGUCUUUGAUGGAGAAGCCACAGACCCAGUGACUGGGGAAAUCUAUGAAUUCAACUCAAAAACUGGCGCCAGGAGGUGGAAAGGCCCAUUAGCCCAACUGCCCAACUGGCCGGAGCCGGGUCCCCAGCCCGGAGGCACAGCUGCAGGAAGGCAGUAACAGGCUCGUGUCUACCUGUGCCCUUCGGCUGAGAGUGCUGACCUGUGCAGGCCAAGUCACCCCAUGUGCUCUUUGCCAUGGCUGACAGGACACCCUUUCAGCUCAGCCUCACAGGGUGCUACACCCGCCCUUGUGUUCACUGAUGCUCAGCGCUGUACACAUUUGUGAGAGGCCACGAGUGGUUUUUGAAAGACAUGGAUGGACACAGCGAGCCAGUCAUUUGGGAAGAAGGAAUACGGCGUCGUUCUUUUAUUUUACUUUAAUUUUAUUUAGAUGAAUCUUGCAUUUGACAAACCAUGCAGAUCUGAGGAGCUGCUCACCCUGUUAAUAUGAAGGCUUCUCCCACAGACAAUUACUGUCCUCUUUAACAUUGUAGAUUAGUUUUGCCUUUGAAAAACUCAUAAAAAUGGCUUUCCUCUCUGA